AGGAAUUAUCAAGUCGAGAUGCUUCCCCAAAACACGGGAAACCUAUUCAGGAUUCCCUAAUUGAAGAUGAAGGGGAGGAGGAAUUACAAUGUUUAGAUGCUUCCCCAAAAGACAGGGAACUUAUUCAGGACUCCCAAACCGAAGCUAAAGGGGAUGAAGAGAAACAAUCAAGUGGAGAUGCUCUUCCAAAAGACAGGGAACCCAUUGAGG